GUCAUUAUCUCUCUUCGAGACACAAAACUUCUUGAUCCCAAGACUGGGUGGUCCGUGAGAAGAAAAGGAGGAAGAAGUUGGUUUCUCGCGUUAACUGGAACAAAGAAUAGAAUGGGGAAGAGUUUUCUGAUUAGGGUUCUUAGUCUUAACCCAUUUAGAAAAAAAUUCGAAACUGUUAAAUAUAGUGAAAAUUAUAUAUUGGAAUUAA
rnacentral:lncRNA from 1 species